AAUUUCAUAAAUCAGUGAUAUAGUAAUCCCGUGGUAAGGCGUAAGCCCUCGGUUCAGAUCCGACAGGGGACU
rnacentral:tRNA from 2 species